rnacentral:rRNA from 1 species
AUGAUGGAGAGUUUGAUCCUGGCUCAGAACGAACGCUGGCGGCGCGUUUUAAGCAUGCAAGUCGAGCGGUAGCAGCAAUGCGAGAGCGGCGGACGGGUGAGUAACACGUGGGUAAUCUGCCCUCCGGUCGGGAAUAGCCUGUGGAAACACAGGAUAAUACCGGAUGCGAUGGCCACCACACAAGUGGAGGUCAGGAAAGGAGCCAAGGCUCCGCCGGAGGAUGAGCCCGCGUCCCAUUAGCUGGAUGGUGAGGUAAAGGCCCACCAUGGCGAUGAUGGGUAGCCGGCCUGAGAGGGUGAACGGCCACAUUGGAACUGAGACACGGUCCAGACUCCUACGGGAGGCAGCAGCUAAGAAUCUUCCACAAUGGACGAAAGUCUGAUGGAGCGACGCCGCGUGGGCGAUGAAGGCCGUGAGGUUGUAAAGCCCUUUUCUUGAGGGGGAAUAAGUGGGACAGGGAAUGGUCCUGCGAUGACGUGAAUCAAGGAAUAAGCCCCGGCUAACUACGUGCCAGCAGCCGCGGUAACACGUAGGGGGCGAGCGUUGUUCGGAAUCAUUGGGCGUAAAGGGCGCGCAGGCGGCCGGGUAAGUCUGGUGUAAAAUGGUCAUGCUCAACAUGAUCAUGCGCUGGAAACUGUCCGGCUUGAGUCAACGAGGGGAUGCCGGAAUUCCAGGUGUAGGGGUGAAAUCUGUAGAUAUCUGGAAGAACACCAGUGGCGAAGGCAGGCAUCUGGCGACUGACUGACGCUGAGGCGCGAAGGUGCGGGGAGCAAACAGGUUUAGAUACCCUGGUAGUCCGCACAGUAAACGAUGUGCACCAGGUGGCGGGCAGCAGUGCUCGGUACCGAAGCAAACGCAUUAAGUGCACCGCCUGGGGAGUAUGCUCGCAAGGGUGAAACUCAAAGGAAUUGACG